GCGGACGUGGUGCACGGUGCACUACUACAUUCGGUGACCAUCCGCUGCAACUUGCAAGCAGUUGUUGGGGUUCGACUCCCCGCGUCCGCG